GACGAACGCUGGCGGCGUGCUUAACACAUGCAAGUCGAACGGAAAGGCCCUGCUUUUGUGGGGUGCUCGAGCGGCGAACGGGUGAGUAACACGUGAGUAACCUGCCCUUGACUUUGGGAUAACUUCAGGAAACUGGGGCUAAUACCGGAUAGGAGCUCCUACUGCAUGGUGGGGGUUGGAAAGUUUCGGCGGUUGGGGAUGGACUCGCGGCUUAUCAGCUUGUUGGUGGGGUAGUGGCUUACCAAGGCUUUGACGGGUAGCCGGCCUGAGAGGGUGACCGGCCACAUUGGGACUGAGAUACGGCCCAGACUCCUACGGGAGGCAGCAGUGGGGAAUAUUGCACAAUGGGCGGAAGCCUGAUGCAGCAACGCCGCGUGCGGGAUGACGGCCUUCGGGUUGUAAACCGCUUUCGCCUGUGACGAAGCGUGAGUGACGGUAAUGGGUAAAGAAGCACCGGCUAACUACGUG
rnacentral:rRNA from 1 species